rnacentral:rRNA from 1 species
AUUGAACGCUGGCGGCAUGCCUUACACAUGCAAGUUGAACGGUAACAGGUCUUCGGAUGCUGACGAGUGGCGAACGGGUGAGUAAUACAUCGGAACGUGCCCAGUCGUGGGGGAUAACUACGCGAAAGCGUAGCUAAUACCGCAUACGAUCUAUGGAUGAAAGCGGGGGAUCGCAAGACCUCGCGCGAUUGGAGCGGCCGAUGACAGAUUAGGUAGUUGGUGGGGUAAAGGCUCACCAAGCCGACGAUCUGUAGCUGGUCUGAGAGGACGACCAGCCACACUGGGACUGAGACACGGCCCAGACUCCUACGGGAGGCAGCAGUGGGGAAUUUUGGACAAUGGGCGCAAGCCUGAUCCAGCCAUGCCGCGUGCAGGAUGAAGGCCUUCGGGUUGUAAACUGCUUUUGUACGGAACGAAAAGUCUCUUUCUAGUAAAGAGGGAUCAUGACGGUACCGUAAGAAUAAGCACCGGCUAACUACGUGCCAGCCGCCGCCGUAA